rnacentral:rRNA from 1 species
AUUGAACGCUGGCGGCAGGCCUAACACAUGCAAGUCGAACGGUAACAGGAAACAGCUUGCUGUUUCGCUGACGAGUGGCGGACGGGUGAGUAAUGUCUGGGAAACUGCCUGAUGGAGGGGGAUAACUACUGGAAACGGUAGCUAAUACCGCAUAACGUCGCAAGACCAAAGAGGGGGACCUUCGGGCCUCUUGCCAUCGGAUGUGCCCAGAUGGGAUUAGCUAGUAGGUGGGGUAACGGCUCACCUAGGCGACGAUCCCUAGCUGGUCUGAGAGGAUGACCAGCCACACUGGAACUGAGACACGGUCCAGACGCCUACGGGAGGCAGCAGUGGGGAAUAUUGCACAAUGGGCGCAAGCCUGAUGCAGCCAUGCCGCGUGUAUGAAGAAGGCCUGCGGGUUGUAAAGUACUUUCAGCGGGGAGGAAGGGAGUAAAGUUAAUACCUUUACUCAUUGACGUUACCCGCAGAAGAAGCACCGGCUAACUCCGU